rnacentral:rRNA from 1 species
AUUGAACGCUGGCGGCAUGCUUUACACAUGCAAGUCGAACGGUAACAGGCCUUCGGGUGCUGACGAGUGGCGAACGGGUGAGUAAUGCAUCGGAACGUACCCAGAGGUGGGGAUAACGCAGCGAAAGCUGUGCUAAUACCGCAUGUGAUCUGAGGAUGAAAGCGGGGGACCGAGCAGCAAUGUUUGGCCUCGCGCCUUUGGAGCGGCCGAUGUCGGAUUAGCUAGUUGGUGGGGUAAAGGCCUACCAAGGCGACGAUCCGUAGCUGGUCUGAGAGGACGACCAGCCACACUGGGACUGAGACACGGCCCAGACUCCUACGGGAGGCAGCAGUGGGGAAUUUUGGACAAUGGGCGCAAGCCUGAUCCAGCAAUGCCGCGUGCGGGAAGAAGGCCUUCGGGUUGUAAACCGCUUUUGGCAGGAACGAAACGGUGUCCGCUAAUACCGGGCGCUAAUGACGGUACCUGCAGAAUAGGCACCGGCUAACUACGUG